rnacentral:rRNA from 1 species
UACGUAGGGGGCAAGCGUUGUCCGGAAUCAUUGGGCGUAAAGAGCGUGUAGGCGGCCUGAAAGGUCAGCUGUGAAAACUCGAGGCUCAACCUCGAGACGUCGGUUGAAACCAUCUGGCUAGAGUCCGGAAGAGGAGUGUGGAAUUCCCGGUGUAGCGGUGAAAUGCGCAGAUAUCGGGAAGAACACCCGUGGCGAAGGCGGCACUCUGGGACGGUACUGACGCUGAGACGCGAAAGCGUGGGGAGCGAAUGGG